rnacentral:Y_RNA from 1 species
GGAUGGUCCCAGUGCAGUGGUAGUUACAACUAAUUGAUCCCAACCAGUUAAAGUGUCCAUUGUUCCUUCUCCACUCCCACUACUUCCCUUAACUAGCCUUAA